CAGGACGAACGCUGGCGGCGUGCCUAAUACAUGCAAGUCGAACGGUCUUUCUAUGGAAGCUUGCUCCACUGAGAAGAUAGUGGCGAACGGGUGAGUAACACGUGGGUAACCUGCCCAUAAGAGGGGGGAUAACAUCCGGAAACGGGUGCUAAUACCGCAUAGUUUUCUUGAUCGCAUGAUUGAGAAAGGAAAGACGGCCUUUGUGCUGUCGCUUAUGGAUGGACCCGCGGCGUAUUAGUUAGUUGGUGAGGUAACGGCUCACCAAGACGAUGAUACGUAGCCGACCUGAGAGGUGAUCGGCCACAUUGGGACUGAGACACGGCCCAAACUCCUACGGGAGGCAGCAGUAGGGAAUCUUCCGCAAUGGACGAAAGUCUGACGGAGCAACGCCGCGUGAGUGAAAGAAGGUUUUCGGAUCGUAAAACUCUGUUGUCAGAGAAGAACAAGUUGGAGAGUAACUGCUCCAGCCUUGACGGUAUCUGACCAGAAAGCCACGGCUAACUACGUGCCAGCCGCCGC
rnacentral:rRNA from 1 species